rnacentral:rRNA from 1 species
AGAGUUUGAUCAUGGCUCAGAUUGAACGCUGGCGGCAUGCCUAAUACAUGCAAGUCGAACGGUAACAGGCUUUUCGGAGUGCUGACGAGUGGCGGACGGGUGAGUAACGCGUGGGAAUCUGCCCUGUAGCGGGGGACAACCUUAGGAAACUGAGGCUAAUACCGCAUACCUUCUACGGAAGAAAGUAGGCCACUGAAUAUGCUUACACUACAGGAUGAGCCCGCGUUGGAUUAGCUAGUUGGUAAGGUAAUGGCUUACCAAGGCUACGAUCCAUAACUGGUCUGAGAGGACGACCAGUCACACCGGGACUGAGACACGGCCCGGACUCCUACGGGAGGCAGCAGUAGGGAAUAUUGGGCAAUGGGCGCAAGCCUGACCCAGCAAUGCCGCGUGUGUGAAGAAGGCCUUAGGGUUGUAAAGCACUUUCAGGAGGGAAGAAAAGGUUAGGAAUAAUACGCCUAACUCAUGACGUUACCUCCAAAAGAAGCACCGGCUAACUCUGUGCCAGCAGCCGCGGUAAUACAGAGGGUGCGAGCGUUAAUCGGAAUUACUGGGCGUAAAGGGUGCGUAGGCGGUUAGAUAAGUUAGAUGUGAAAUCCCUGGGCUCAACCUGGGAACUGCCUCUAAAACUAUCUAACUCGAGUGCAGUAGAGGAAAGUGGAAUUUCCGGUGUAGCGGUGAAAUGCGUAGAUAUCGGAAGGAACAUC